rnacentral:rRNA from 11 species
UCCUCAUCACAACCCUCCUUGAAGACACAGACAGGCAUAGCUUGGAUUUGGAUGCUAAGCAGGGUUGGCCUCGGUCAGUAUUUGGAUGGGAGACCACAAACAUAUCCUGGUUGCUGCGUGC